GACGAACGCUGGCGGCGUGCUUAACACAUGCAAGUCGAGCGGAGCGGCGAACGGGUGAGUAACGCGAGGGUAACUGCCCCCCUCUCUGGGAUAACAGUUGGAAAAGGCUGCUAAUACCGGAUAGUGGGGGGGGACUCGCGUCCUAUCAGCUUGAUGGUGGGGUAGUGGCCUACCAAGGAGACGACGGGUAGCCGGCCUGAGCGGGGGACCGGCCACAUUGGGCGGAGAUACGGCCAAAAAUGCUACGGGAGGAAGCAGUGGGGAAUAUUGCACAAGGGGGGAAACCCUGAUGCAGCAACGCCGCGUGCGGGAUGACGGCCUCCGGGUUGUAAACCGCUUUCAGCCAUGACGCGGUAGUGGCAGAACAAGCACCGGCUAACUACGUGCCAGCAGCCGCGGUAAUAC
rnacentral:rRNA from 1 species